rnacentral:tRNA from 1 species
GUGGCUAUAGCUCAGUUGGUUAGAGCGCCGGAUUGUGAUUCCGGAGGUCGUGGGUUCGAAUCCCAUUAGCCACCCCU